GUUUUGCAGUUUUUCUCGAGUGUUUGUGUCUAGAGAUUUUUCUCUGCUUGUUGGGAAGGGAUAUUCUUGCUGCGACGUUGGUAACCUCCGGGGAGUUUAAAGCUUCUGCUGUUUUGUUGAAAGCUGACCCUAAAUGCUAGAUAAGAUUUAGAUGCCGGUGAGAAGUGCUGCGUCACCUUUCCUGAGCUUUGCUACGUUUGUGGAGACUUGGAGAUCCGAUGCUUACUGGGUUUUAGGUACCAAUGGUCCUUUGGGUUUCCUUCGGUUUCUCAUUCUAAGCUUUUGGUGUCGUCGAUGACGUGCUUCUUUCCCAAUUGGUGAUAUUGCUUGAAGCAGAGGACAUACGAAUGCUGUGGGGGUUGAUGGCUGUGCUGCUCUUUGCUUAGGAUUCUUUAGGUGAGGUUGAAUUGGGCUGUCUCUGUUUAUGGGUUAUUUGUACUGGGCUUGACCUUUGGGCCUCCCUCUUUUGUUUUGUUUUGUUUUCUAAACCCAUGUUGUAUUGUUACCUUAAAG
rnacentral:misc_RNA from 1 species